rnacentral:snRNA from 1 species
AUACUUACCUGGACGGGGUCGAUGGGCGAUCAUUAAGGCCCAUGGCCUGGAUCAGUGGCCCACAUUGCACUUGGUGGGUGCGCUGAUCUACCAUCUCCCCAAGUGGGAGAGUGGACGUCGUAAUUUGUGGUAGAGGGGGUACGCGUUCGCGCGGCCCCUG